rnacentral:sRNA from 1 species
AGUAAGUUUGCCUGCUAUGUUGUACGCCAGUUUACAACCAUUGCCCAGACCAACAAGAAAGUCUUUGUGGACCUGAUGUUUUGGAAGAAUAAAAAUGAGGCUCUAGCAAUCACCAGCAACUAUGAUUUUACAUCUAAAAGUUCAUCUAAAGUGUCUUGGACAGAACAUGAUGAACAGGAGCUGAGCUCUUUGUUUGAAAAGUUUAGACAUGUUCAUCAUCCAG